AGCGAACGCUGGCGGCAGGCCUAACACAUGCAAGUCGAACGAACUCUUCGGAGUUAGUGGCGGACGGGUGAGUAACACGUGGGAACGUGCCUUUAGGUUCGGAAUAACUCAGGGAAACUUGUGCUAAUACCGAAUGUGCCCUUCGGGGAAAGGAUUUAUCGCCUUUAGAGCGGCCCGCGUCUGAUUAGCUAGUUGGUGAGGUAAAGGCUCACCAAGGCUACGAUCAGUAGCUGGUCUGAGAGGAUGACCAGCCACAUUGGGACUGAGACACGGCCCAAACUCCUACGGGAGGCAGCAGUGGGGAAUCUUGCGCAAUGGGCGAAAGCCUGACGCAGCCAUGCCGCGUGGAUGAUGAAGGUCUUAGGAUUGUAAAAUCCUUUCACCGGUGAAGAUAAUGACUGUAGCCGGAGAAGAAGCCCCGGCUAACUUCGUG
rnacentral:rRNA from 1 species